rnacentral:rRNA from 1 species
GACGAACGCUGGCGGCGUGCCUAAUACAUGCAAGUCGAGCGGAACCAUUGGAGCUUGCUCCAUUGGUUUAGCGGCGGACGGGUGAGUAACACGUGGGUAACCUGCCCAUCAGAAGGGGAUAACACUUGGAAACAGGUGCUAAUACCGUAUAACAAUCAAAACCGCAUGGUUUUGAUUUGAAAGGCGCUUUCGGGUGUCGCUGAUGGAUGGACCCGCGGUGCAUUAGCUAGUUGGUGAGGUAACGGCUCACCAAGGCCACGAUGCAUAGCCGACCUGAGAGGGUGAUCGGCCACAUUGGGACUGAGACACGGCCCAAACUCCUACGGGAGGCAGCAGUAGGGAAUCUUCGGCAAUGGACGAAAGUCUGACCGAGCAACGCCGCGUGAGUGAAGAAGGUUUUCGGAUCGUAAAACUCUGUUGUUAGAGAAGAACAAGGAUGAGAGUAACUGUUCAUCCCUUGACGGUAUCUAACCAGAAAGCCACGGCUAACUACGUGCCAGCCGCCGCCGUAAAAC